rnacentral:lncRNA from 1 species
AAGACCGCUCAAAAUACAUGAUUUCAUCUAAUACCAAAAAUAAUAGACUUCACUUCAAUCAAUCUGAAUUCACAUAAUUUCUAUAAUCACCAACUUUCUUUGUCCAAAACACAUACAGCUCUCAAUAAACAACAAUCAUAAUGUUUCAAUAACUCCUCAUAUAAUUCAAUCACUCAGUACUUCAAUUACAUAAUCAAUAAUUCAUAAAUCAAUUUGUGAUUUAUUCUACACAUUCACUUCUAAGUAUUCAGAAAGUAUCAAUUAUUCUUCAACAACAAAGAAACAAAGAGACAAAGAAGUAGCACCAAACUUACCCCAAAUCAUGGCUAUCAUAGUCUGGCACUUAGACUAACUUCUACAACUCCUAUAUACUUACUUCUUAUUCCUAGAUUCUAACCAUAAUCCUAUAAUUAACCACUUUUAAUAACUAAGUUAACCAUAUGUCUUCCUAAACUGACUAUUCUAUAGACUAUUAGUCUAUUUUACCAAUAUCUUAUA